rnacentral:sRNA from 1 species
UUCCUAUGUGACAGUAGUAGUGAUGUAC